rnacentral:rRNA from 1 species
UAUUGGACAAUGGGCGCAAGCCUGAUCCAGCAAUACCGCGUGUGUGAAGAAGGCCUUAGGGUUGUAAAGCACUUUCAAUUGGGAGGAAAACCUGCCGGUCAAUACCCGGUAGCUUGACAUUACCUUUAGAAGAAGCACCGGCUAACUCCGUGCCAGCAGCCGCGGUAAUACGGAGGGUGCGAGCGUUAAUCGGAAUUACUGGGCGUAAAGCGUGCGUAGGCGGUUCGUUAAGUCAGAUGUGAAAGCCCUGGGCUCAACCCGGGAACUGCAUUUGAAACUGGCGGACUAGAGUUUAGUAGAGGGGAGUGGAAUUUCAGGUGUAGCGGUGAAAUGCGUAGAUAUCUGAAGGAACACCAGUGGCGAAGGCGACUCCCUGGACUAGAACUGACGCUGAGUACGAAA